rfam:Ixodes scapularis strain Wikel colony gcontig_1108378305644, whole genome shotgun sequence.
GCAGUCGGGGGCGAGUGGUUAAGGCGAUGGACUAGAAAUCCAUUGCGGUCUCCCUGCACAGGUUCGAAUCUUGUCGACUGCG